AAAUACUGUUUACUGCUGGGCUAUAUUUAUGUGAUCUUAUACUUUUCAGAUGGGGAAUGUCUGUUGUAGUGGAAAAGGAAAUGGAAUGGGACCAAUAAAUAAAUUCUGUAAAUGUGGUGGACCACGACCGAAAUCUGGACAUUCUAGGAAGGGAAGUGGACAUUCUAGGAAGGGAAGUGGUAAGGGACGAAGAUCACCUAAAGGGUCACCUAAAGGAAGACGAAGGAAGGGAUCACACAGUAGUUAAUGAAUAUUAUGGUGGGAACUCUUUAAACAGUAUUAUAUAGAUGUGAACUCUCAAAUAUAUGAUAAGAC
rnacentral:lncRNA from 1 species